rnacentral:rRNA from 1 species
AACGAACGCUGGCGGCGUGGAUAAGACAUGCAAGUCGAACGCUGAUUUCAGGGUAGCAAUAUUCUGGAGUCGGAGUGGCGCAAGGGUGCGUAACACGUGGGUAAUUUGCCGUGAAGCCUGGGAUAACUUGCUGAAAGGCGAGCUAAUACCGGAUGUGAUUAUCGGGAGGCAUCUCCUGAACCUUAAAGUUGGGGACCGUAAGGCCUGACACUUCACGAUAAGCCCGCGGCCUAUCAGCUAGUUGGUGAGGUAACGGCUCACCAAGGCUAAGACGGGUAGCUGGUCUGAGAGGACGACCAGCCACACUGGAACUGAGACACGGUCCAGACACCUACGGGUGGCAGCAGUCGAGAAUUUUUCACAAUGGGCGAAAGCCUGAUGGAGCGACGCCGCGUGGGGGAGUGAAUGGC